rnacentral:rRNA from 1 species
GAUUAAGUUAUUAAGGGCGCACGGUGGAUGCCUUGGCACUAGAAGCCGAUGAAGGACGUUACUAACGACGAUAUGCUUUGGGUAGCUGUAAGUAAGCGUUGAUCCAGAGAUUUC